rnacentral:rRNA from 1 species
GAUGAACGCUGGCGGCGUGCCUAAUACAUGCAAGUCGAGCGAAUGGAUUAAGAGCUUGCUCUUAUGAAGUUAGCGGCGGACGGGUGAGUAACACGUGGGUAACCUGCCCAUAAGACUGGGAUAACUCCGGGAAACCGGGGCUAACACUGGAUAACAUUUUGAACCGCAUGGUUCGAAAUUGAAAGGCGGCUUCGGCUGUCACUUAUGGAUGGACUCGCGUCGCAUUAGCUAGUUGGUGAGGUAACGGCUCACCAAGGCAACGAUGCGUAGCCGACCUGAGAGGGUGAUCGGCCACACUGGGACUGAGACACGGCCCAGACUCCUACGGGAGGCAGCAGUAGGGAAUCUUCCGCAAUGGACGAAAGUCUGACGGAGCAACGCCGCGUGAGUGAUGAAGGCUUUCGGGUCGUAAAACUCUGUUGUUAGGGAAGAACAAGUGCUAGUUGAAUAAGCUGGCACCUUGACGGUACCUAACCAGAAAGCCACGGCUAACUACGUGCCAGCCGCCGCCGUAA